rnacentral:rRNA from 1 species
GACGAACGCUGGCGGCGUGCUUAACACAUGCAAGUCGAACGGAAAGGCCCUGCUUUUGUGGGGUGCUCGAGUGGCGAACGGGUAAGUAACACGUGAGUAACCUGCCCUUGACUUUGGGAUAACUUCAGGAAACUGGGGCUAAUACCGGAUAGGAGCUCCUGCUGCAUGGUGGGGGGUGGAAAGUUUCGGCGGGUGGGGAUGGACUCGCGGCUUAUCAGCUUGUUGGUGGGGUAGUGGCUUACCAAGGCUUUGACGGGUAGCCGGCCUGAGAGGGUGACCGGCCACAUUGGGACUGAGAUACGGCCCAGACUCCUACGGGAGGCAGCAGUGGGGAAUAUUGCACAAUGGGCGGAAGCCUGAUGCAGCAACGCCGCGUGCGGGAUGACGGCCUUCGGGUUGUAAACCGCUUUCGCCUGUGACGAAGCGUGAGUGACGGUAAUGGGUAAAGAAGCACCGGCUAACUACGUG